AAACGUUCUCAGGGCGGGGUGCAAGUCCCCACCGGCGGUAAUUGCACCCAUGGUGCAUAGCCCGCGAGCGCCUACUGGAAAGCCCAGGAUUGAGCGAGCUGGAGCGAGACAAGGCAAAAGCAGCCGAGGAAGCGCAGUUUACGUCGGUAAAUGAGCAUUCCGAGGCUGCUUUUAACGCCGUAUCGCCGACGCACAGCCAAUCCUGACUCACUGCCAGCAGGGUCAGCAGAUCCGGUUAGAUCCCGGAGCCGACGGUAACAGUCCGGAUGAAGAGAGAACGGGA
rnacentral:ncRNA from 1 species